GGCUCAACUGUCACUAUUGUUUUUGGACAGUUAUGUCAGCCUGUGAGAAUAUUCCCUUUCAGCGCCGUCAAAACCGGCACUCACCCAAAAAUGGUUGGCGUCAUCCCAGAAUGUAGACAAUCUCUCCACCGCUGUGGCCGAAAUGACUGUUCCCUGUCCAGAAGCGGCGUGUUUGACUUCUGCCAGCAACCAUCCGCCUCCGUUCCCUGUCAGCUUUUCAGGUGUGGUAACCCUUUCUGCAGCCAUCAUCACAUGCAGUGCAGUCAUUUAGGCCAUUAAGAUGCAUGAUGGCGGACUGAGAGCUGCUGCACAGGAAGCUGGCAGGGAAACGAAUUCACACACCUCUCCCAGCCCCGAAUGGGCGACCCAGAGAGAAGAAUGUCGACUGUUGGGCUGGACUGAACAAUUGCUUGAUUCAGUUUGAUUCAAGUACAGGACGGACUGGCAGCCAAGGGCGACAGUGGACUCACUGAAGACGGUGUGACAGUGGAGGCCAUAAUCCGUGGCUUUCCUGUGCUGACUGCUCUCUCAGAGCCCAGCCGGUGUUGGGUUUCGAUGCAAGCAGCUGGGAGAGGGUAUUUUGUGGUCCUCUUCAGUCCUCUUUGAAAGAGGAUAGUCGGGAUAGAGUCCCUCCGUGAGGCCCUGAGGACCCUGCCGCUGCAUCCACACUGAAGAGAGUCGUCCCUGUUGCGGCCAGCAUGAGCAGCUGGGAGACUUUGGCAGCAGGUGAACACAGCACCAGUGUGAAGGAGAAUAUCUGGCAAGAGAACUGGAAGAUCUUGAACCAAUGUGGGAACUCAGGGUGUUAUAGACUGGUUAAAAACCCAAUGUUUUCAGUUCAGGAAGGUCCAGACAGGGAGGACGUGCGGAUGUGCAGAGUAAUGCUUUUCCCUUGCCCCCACAGAGGAAAUGGACAACUUUAGGAAGGGCCGUGACACUGUGUCAAUUGGCCUGUCAUUCUAAGUGAUCUAUUUUGUGUUAAUUCAGAAAGUUCUCAUGGUAUAAAUGGUUUCCUUGUAUUUUGCCUGGCCACACAGAUGGUGGAAAAUAGCUCUGUAGUGGGUUUUGCUUGGCCAGGCCGCUCAGUUUUAUUUGGAGCCCUGCACUAAAGGAUGAGUCGCCCAGUUUGACUGGAGCGCGCCCAAGGCCUUUGCAGAUCAAACAGGCACUAAAAUCCAUAUGCAAGAUGAAUAAACAGCGACCGGUGUUUAUUUACCACAUUUGACCCUUCUGUAUGUACCCAAUUCUUGCUAACUCCACACUCUGGAAGGAAAAGACAAAAUCCUGCACAGCUGAGUUUGGUAAGUGCGUCAAGUAGGGCAGCAGGACGUUAGUGUUUGUGGGCUCCUGUAACUUUUCAUUCAACACGUUUUAUGUAAAAGUUGGGUACUGAACACGGACAUUUUUUGGUACUGCUGGUGGCGAAAGUAUUGAUUAUAUUUCAGGAAAAUGCCGUUGCUGCGUUUGAACAUCCUAUACUCUAAUAUUCAUUCUCUGAAUACUCAACUUGUGGUUUAAAGACGGAUACACGUGGGCACAUAAAAAGUAUAUGUCAGCAGAAUUCUCAUCACUAUUGUGGAGAAACAAAAAAUCUUCAGCUAUUCCCUUAUUUUUCUCUGGGAAAACACAGAGCUGUGAUUAUGCUGGUGCACCGGGGAUGGCUGAGGUGGUCGUAAUAGGAGCCUGGGGAUUUUAAGACUGCUCUGGAUCUGGGAAAGGCAUGUCUGCUUCUGCUUCUCUUGGUUCGCGACCAGACUGUGAUAAUCCAAGAGGAGAGUGUCCACCGCAAACCACAAAACAGCUUUGCACAUAACCUUACCACCCAAGUUAGCCCCAAGCAGUGGGUUGACUAAAUGAAGGCUAUGAAGAGGCAUAUUUGUGCUUCUACUCAAGGAAGCUGAAUGAGGGCGCAAAUAAAAUCAACGCUUGAUUCGGUGUUAGGUCGCCUACAAUUAGGCCACAACAGUGUCAAGGUAAAGAGUUGCAGAUGUAUGCCCACGGCGGAGGUGCAUACACACAUUUUAUAAACUUCCAGCUAAAGGUAACAAAUUCAUUAUUUUUUGAUUGUUUGAGUUUAAUUCAGAUUCUUGCUUUUAAUUAGUCUAAUCUGUGCUGACGUUGCUUUGUGAUGCACUUUUUUUGUAGUGUUGUUCUUUUGAUUGUAAAAUUGUGAUUGUGGCACAAUACAUCUAACGGGAACAUCGAUGUUUAUUAUCAUUCAUCGGUCCUCACCAGUAACACAUGAAACACUAGCACACUAGUUUAUAUUAUCUGUCUUUUUUCAUGUUUUAUGUCACAAAGUAAGUCAUGUCAUAGUUGCUUUAAACAAUCAUAUGACAAACAUUACAUGCAUUAGCUUCUGUAUUAAAUGUGAUCAUAUUUGACAUGUGCACUUGCUUUACUGUACUCCUGCAUGGAAAAACAGCCAAAAUGUCAGAGAAAAAACUCAUAGGUUUUUCACAUAUUUCCAAUCCUUUAAAUCUGCGCUGUGAACCUUCAUGUUUUCAAUUUCAUCAGCUCAUACGUUACGCAUUAGUCUUACACUAUCUGUCACAGCAUGUCCAGUGCGUGUGGAACAAUUUUACCACGGCACACAUUUUCCUCUUUUCUCAUUGUGCGGGCACCUUGAGUUACAGCCACAUCACAGUCUGGUGUUAGUGGUCCAUUAACCUCUAGUAAUUAAAGUGUCAGUUUAAAUGUCAUGUAGCUCGCUGUUUUCUCUGGACUGUGAAAAAACAACAAAAGGAAGAGAUUUCAUAGAAGCGUUGGUUUCCUAACAUAUUUUCCGCCCUCUGUUCGGCUAUGUUUUAUCAGCUCGUGAAUUUCUCCUGAAUUAAUUGAAAGGCACAAAACUGUGUCAGAGAAGGUGUUUGCUGUUGAAAUUACCUUCUCUUUAUGGGCUCAUUUCACAUUUGCUGGCCCUCUUAUUUUCAAUUGGCCUCAUAUAAAGUUCAUACUGCAGAUACGGAGUAAGGACUUGAACGUACAAAUACUUUCCAUACCGCACAAGCACCAACAUAUCAAAAUGAAAGAGGCCCAUUAACUAUUUGACAGAAACAAUUUGAAUGUCUGUUUAGACUCAACAUCUUUCUAAAACAUGUACUUACGGAAAAAGCCUUAUGAUUUUAAGUGGUGUGGGUGAUGUGCAUGCAUGUACACUUACUGCCUGGACUACUCAGAGAGUAUAAAUUAAAAUGUCGCCCAAUUGUACUUCACAUGAUUCUAUAUAUUCAGUAUUAAACCAUAAGCAGAUAAUAAGUUAAUUCUAUCGCCAUGUCAGCAGCUGACUUUGAAGUUCUCCCAUUAAUGACAGUCAAUUCCAGAGUCGGGCAAUUAUAACUUUCUUUGGACAGACAAAUAAAAAAGGUCUUGGAAAAUUAAAUUAGGUUUGCACAGUCUUAGAGGCGUUAUGCCCUGCCAACCUCAAUAUAAUAACCGUAAAACUAUUACAACCUGAGAAGUGUUUGUAUUGGCUGCUUGUCAGAGCAGGGGCAGUUAAACAGUGCCACUUGAGACUUGCUGCCCUGUGGUUUCAUUUUCAAUGCCAUACAUUUGACAAGGACCUGCACUAUCUGUUCACAAUCCAACAACUCUACCAAUAAGACACACUGUAGAAAGGUAUGAAUUGGUUUUAUUUUCACCGAUGUAUGACUGAUGCCCAGAAGUUUUAACAAAAGCAUAAUAGUCCACUCUUUUCCAGCAGUUUAACUGCACCCAGCACCCUCGCCCCUGCAUAUAUGGCAUUAUUGGAACAUUUUUGAGUACCUGGCUGUGUUUCACAAGAAUGCAUUUCCUCAUUUUCUUCAUAAAAACCGGAUACCAAUCUACAGACAUACUAAACUUUAGACAAAAAAACAGCGGUUUAUGAAGAAAGACAGGAAAUACGUUUGCGCUUGACGACAAAUCUCAGACACAUUAAUGAGGCCUGCCAUAUUAUCAAUCUGGUAUUUUUAUGCACCAUCCCUAUUCCUACCUCACGUUUUUAGGUCACCACAUAUCAAUAUAUUUGAAAUAUUUGAUAAUGUCUUUAUUCAUUUUCAGUGUGUGUAGCCAAGAGCCUUCCUCUACUGUAUAAUGACAGCAAAGCUGAACCUUGAGCCUUGUUAAAGGAAAAGAACACCGCAGGUAGGAGGGAGGGUUUGGCCAGUUUGUAUGGCAGACAGUUCCCAGCUGGCUCCUUCCCCAGCACCAGAUCACCCAUAGGCAAAGGCCAAAAAAACAACAAUUUUAAGGUGGUUAAAGUCACAGCCGGUGUCCAAAGUCAAUUGUGCCUGUUUUAUUUGGCUGGUUUCUGGGUUUCUCUUGUUGAGCUACUUUCCUACCUGUUAUGAUAUAUGGAGAUCUCCAGCAGCGAGUAAGUAAAACAAAUCACCCAGGAGGCAGGGGUCUCUGUUGGAUAAUUAUUUUCACCUCACUUUACUUGGGGUGAGGAUAACUUACUUUCUCCUCGACCAAUUGCUUUCUGCAGGCGGCUGGGACGUGUGCCAGAAACAUUAAAAGUAAAGAAAGGGGAAGAAUUCAAUCCCUAUCACAAACGUGCCCAAACCGGGGAGAGAUUAAAGGCUGCUUCCGGAAGAUAAUAUUUCUGGAUGUGGACAAUAAUUCCAUUUAUUCCAUUUCUUUUUACAAAUGAGCCUCUAUCUUGUAAAAUAAAAAAAGCAAACUGAU